rnacentral:rRNA from 1 species
UACGGGGGGGGCAAGCGUUGUUCGGAAUUACUGGGCGUAAAGGGCUCGUAGGCGGCCCACUAAGUCAGACGUGAAAUCCCUCGGCUUAACCGGGGAACUGCGUCUGAUACUGGAUGGCUAGAGGUUGGGAGAGGGAUGCGGAAUUCCAGGUGUAGCGGUGAAAUGCGUAGAUAUCUGAAGGAACACCGGUGGCGAAGGCGGCAUCCUGGACCAAUUCUGACGCUGAUGAGCGAAAGCCAGGGGAGCAAACGGG